rnacentral:rRNA from 1 species
AUUGAACGCUGGCGGCAGGCCUAACACAUGAACGUCGAACGAGUGGCGGACGGGUGAGUCAUGUCUGGGAAACUGCCAGGUGGAGGGGGAUAACGACUGGAAACGGUAGCUAAUACCGCAUACCAUCGGAUGUGACCAGAGGGGAUGGGCUAGUUGGUGGGGUAACGGCCUACCAAGGCGACGAUCCGUAACUGGUCUGAGAGGAUGAUAAGUCACACUGGAACUGAGACACGUUCCAGACUCCUACGGGAGGCAGCAGUGGGGAAUAUUUGACAAUGGGCGAAAGCCUGAUCCAGCCAUGCCGCGUGUGUGAAGAAGGUCUUCGGAUUGUAAAGCUUGUUAAGUUGGGCGGCGUUACCAACAGAAUAAGCACCGGCUAACUUCGUGCCAGCGGCCGCGGUAAUAC